GGCUGCAACUCGCCUACAUGAAGUCGGAGUUGCUAGUAAUCGCGGAUCAGAAUGCCGCGGUGAAUGCGUUCCCGGGUCUUGUACACACCGCCCGUCACACCAUGGAAGUUGGGGGCGCCCGAAGUUGGUCGAGGAAUAGAUUACCUAAGGCGAAACCAAUGACUGGGGUGAAGUCGUAACAAGGUAGC
rnacentral:rRNA from 1 species